GACGAGGGGACGAGGUGGUGCAUGGUUUGUCGUCAGCUCGUGUCGUGAGAUUGUUGGGUUAAGUCCCGCAACGAGCGCAACCCUUGCCAUUAGUUGUCAGCGAGUCAUGUCGGAUACUCUAAUGGGACUGCCGGUGACGAGCCGGAGGAAGGUGGGGAUGACGUCAAGUCAGCAUGGCCUUUAUGUCCAGGGCCACACACGUGCUACAAUGGACGGUACAGAGGGACGCAAGACCGCAAGGUGGAGCAAAUCCUCAAAACCGUUCUCAGUUCGGAUUGCAGGCUGCAAUUCGCCUGCAUGAAGCUGGAAUUGCUAGUAAUCGCAGAUCAGCUACGCUGCGGUGAAUACGCUCUCGGGCCUU
rnacentral:rRNA from 1 species